GACAGAGGUGCCAAGCGUUAGGCGGAAUCACUGGGCUUAAAGCGUGUGUAGGCGGAUCGUUAAGUACCUUGUGAAAUCCCACGGCUCAACCGUGUAACUGCUGGGUAUACUGGCGAUCUUGAGCCACCUAGGGGCGAGCGGAACAAGCGGUGGAGCGGUGAAAUGCGUAGAUAUCGCUUGGAACGCCAAUGGUGAAAACAGCUCGCUGGGGGUGUGCUGACGCUGAGACACGAAAGCCAGGGGAGCGAACGGG
rnacentral:rRNA from 1 species